rnacentral:rRNA from 1 species
GCAGCGACGCCGCGUGAGGGAUGACGGCCUUCGGGUUGUAAACCUCUUUCAGUAGGGAAGAAGCGAGAGUGACGGUACCUGCAGAAGAAGCGCCGGCUAACUACGUGCCAGCAGCCGCGGUAAUACGUAGGGCGCAAGCGUUGUCCGGAAUUAUUGGGCGUAAAGAGCUCGUAGGCGGUUUGUCGCGUCUGCUGUGAAAGCCCGGGGCUCAACCCCGGGUCUGCAGUGGGUACGGGCAGACUAGAGUGCAGUAGGGGAGACUGGAAUUCCUGGUGUAGCGGUGAAAUGCGCAGAUAUCAGGAGGAACACCGAUGGCGAAGGCAGGUCUCUGGGCUGUUACUGACGCUGAGGAGCGAAAGCAUGGGGAGCGAACAGGAUUAGAUACCCUGGUAGUCCAUGCCGUAAACGUUGGGCACUAGGUGUGGGGGACAUUCCACGUUUUCCGCGCCGUAGCUAACGCAUUAAGUGCCCCGCCUGGGGAGUACGGCCGCAAGGCUAAAACUCAAAGGAAUUGACGGGGGCCCGCACAAGCGGCGGAGCAUGCGGAUUAAUUCGAUGCAACGCGAAGAACCUUACCAAGGCUUGACAUCACCGGACCGCCCCAGAGA